UGGGGAAUAUUGGACAAUGGGCGCAAGCCUGAUCCAGCAAUGCCGCGUGUGUGAAGAAGGCCUGCGGGUUGUAAAGCACUUUCAGUGGGGAGGAAGGCCUCGGCGUUAAUAUCGUCGAGGAUUGACGUUACCUACAGAAGAAGCACCGGCUAACUCUGUGCCAGCAGCCGCGGUAAUACAGAGGGUGCAAGCGUUAAUCGGAAUUACUGGGCGUAAAGGGCGCGUAGGUGGUUAAUUAAGUCAGAUGUGAAAUCCCCGGGCUUAACCUGGGAAUUGCAUUUGAAACUGAUUGGCUAGAGUACGGGAGAGGGAAGUCGAAUUUCCGGUGUGGCGGUGAAAUGCGUAGAUAUCGGAAGCAACACCAGUGGCGAAGGCGACUUCCUGGCCCGUUACUGACACUGAGGCGCGAAAGCGUGGGGAGCGAACA
rnacentral:rRNA from 1 species